UGAUGCAAAGAAGAAACAAACGGAUAAGCAUAUGAACCAAUCAUGCAUGAUAUUUCAUGACUAGAAACUGCAACAAAUCAAAUGGCAGCCAAGUUCAAAUGCUGCCGAAACCUUCAACAGCAAUCUCGUUUCAGUUCAGUAUUUCUAGGCUUGACUCCAAUUUCCUCGUUGCACAUUCUCUAGUGUAGGCACAUCGCAGGCUGUGGCUGGUUAUUUUAUAGGUUUAAGUAAGAAAGACCAGAACAAAUAAAAUGAUGAACAAAACUAUCAAAAAUAAAAUCAUCAUGAUCUGCCCCUUCGCACUGGCUUUCUUCAUGACCAUAGCCACUUUUUUCUGAACAAAAUCGAGACGAUUUGAUGUACUGUCCAUUUCCAUACCCAAAUCAUCUAUAAUCUUUUCCUGUGCAAGGAGUUCUUCAUGUAUAGUAAGCCCAACACCUCCAAUACGCUCCACACUUGCACUAAGCUCAUCCAACUCCUCAUCCUGUUGCUUUAUAAGAAGCAUUUGUCGAUCUGAUUCUGAUUGUAUGAAAUCAUCAUUAUCUUGAGUAUACAGGUUGGAUUUAUCUGUCUGGUGAGAAUUUUGCAGCCUCAUUAACUCUCUGCGCAUCCCAUUUACGCUGGUAGUUCCAUUACUGUUCACCUCUUUUCCAGCUACAACUGCUUUCUUCACAUUGCCCACCUGAACACGAGCAGUGCUAGUCCAUCUCUUUCGUUUUUCGAGCUCCACCUCAUCAAUCCCAUACCAAGAAGGAUCUCUAGCUGCUACAGAAAUUGUUUUGUCUAGCUCAUCCACCUGCCAUGCAAUGCUCUCACAACCAGUAACUAGCUCAUUUGCCAGAUGCAUUUGGUCUUCAGGAUCAGAAGAAGCCCGUUCCCAUUGGUGAAAAGUAGAUAGCAGCUUAUCAAUAGAUUCUUGAAUUUCCUCCUUCACUAUAUAAAAUGGAUCUUGAGCUGAAGACAUCGCGUGUCAGUAACUAUAGCUUAUCCA
rnacentral:misc_RNA from 1 species